rnacentral:sRNA from 1 species
AGGGGAGAUUGGAGAACAAAAGGCUUGAGAAUAAAUUGCAAACCAUAUAUGAUUCGGUUUAGACUCCAUGCCUAGUAGGAUUAUGAGAUUGUAAUAAGAUAAUAACGUUGUAGAAUUCAUAUUGGGAAGCCCUAUAUGAUUCGGUUCACUGGUUGCGUUGCAAAUAUUCUACGAGGUGAUUUGGUUUGAGACUUGAGAGAGUUAUAGGCAAUGAGGAAUGAAGCCCAGGCCCUGUGAUCUUUUUACUAUCUUACUAAGCAAAUCUAAGCUAAUUGUAAAACAAGAAAACAUUUUAGAGAGAGAAAUUCAUAGAUUUGAGAUCCCAUAAAUAGAGAUAAUUGAUGUUCAUUUUGGUAAUAAACCCCAAAAAGAAAAGUCAUAACGUUCCGUCAAAGAAACAAAAGUAAAGGCCUAGUAGUACGGCCCAAAUACUUUUGGCGGGAGUUAGAAGAAAAAUAAAAAGUCAAGCACGAAAUGUGUUUGAUGGAAUGCCAAAGCGAGAGAGAGACAACAAUGGUUCAAGAAGAACCUAUGAAACUGAGAAUCACCGAAGUUGUUGACAUUGAAAGAAGGUGGUGAGCUGUCAUUCUUUUUUUCCUUCUUCUUCUUCUCUUUCUCCUAUUGACAUUGUUGGAGGUCUCAUUCUUCUUCAUAUUCUUCUUUGGCCUUCGAUUCUUCUUCUUAGGCUUUGGUGGUUUUUCUUCUACUACAUUAGCUUUGGAGUCUAAACACAUAGGCAUAAUAAUUUUUGAGUAUAUAAUUUGUUGAUAUGAAUAGUUAAAUUUUUGAAUUUAAAUAAUAUUUGUAUUAACUAAUUAAUAAAAUUAUUUUAUUAUCGUUUUCUGAAUUUUUAAU